UUCAUACAUGCAAGUCGAACGAGAAGUCACCUUCGGGUGAUGGAAAGUGGCGGAACGGGUGAGGUAAUGUGUAGAGAAUCUGCCCUUUAGUGGGGGACAACAGUUGGAAACGACUGCUAAUACCCCAUAUGCGCGUAGCUGAGAUCGCUAUUCGUGAAAAACUCCGGUGCUAAAGGAUGAGUCUGCAUCUGAUUAGCUAGUUGGCGGUGGUAAUGGACCACCAAGGCGACGAUCAGUAGCUGGUUUGAGAGGGAUGAUCAGCCACAAUGGGACUGAGACACGGCCCAUACUCCUACGGGAGGCAGCAGUAGGGAAUUUUGCGCAAUGGGGAAACCCUGACCGCAGCAACGCCGCGUGAUUGAAUAAGCCCUUCGGGGUGUAAAGAUCUGUCAGUAGGGACGAAACUUGACGGUACCUACAGAGGAAGCAUCGGCUAACUCCGUGCCAGCCGCCGC
rnacentral:rRNA from 1 species